GACGAACGCUGGCGGCGUGCCUAAUACAUGCAAGUAGAACGCUGAAGGAGGAGCUUGCUUCUCUGGAUGAGUUGCGAACGGGUGAGUAACGCGUAGGUAACCUGCCUGGUAGCGGGGGAUAACUAUUGGAAACGAUAGCUAAUACCGCAUAAGAGUAGAUGUUGCAUGACAUUUGCUUAAAAGGUGCAAUUGCAUCACUACCAGAUGGACCUGCGUUGUAUUAGCUAGUUGGUGGGGUAACGGCUCACCAAGGCGACGAUACAUAGCCGACCUGAGAGGGUGAUCGGCCACACUGGGACUGAGACACGGCCCAGACUCCUACGGGAGGCAGCAGUAGGGAAUCUUCGGCAAUGGACGGAAGUCUGACCGAGCAACGCCGCGUGAGUGAAGAAGGUUUUCGGAUCGUAAAGCUCUGUUGUAAGAGAAGAACGAGUGUGAGAGUGGAAAGUUCACACUGUGACGGUAUCUUACCAGAAAGGGACGGCUAACUACGUGCCAGCAGCCGCGGUAAUACGUAGGUGGCAAGCGUUAUCCGGAUUUAUUGGGCGUAAAGAGAGUGCAGGCGGUUUUCUAAGUCUGAUGUGAAAGCCUUCGGCUUAACCGGAGAAGUGCAUCGGAAACUGGAUAACUUGAGUGCAGAAGAGGGUAGUGGAACUCCAUGUGUAGCGGUGGAAUGCGUAGAUAUAUGGAAGAACACCACUGGCGAAGGCGGCUACCUGGUCUGCACUGACCUGAGACUCGCAGCCUGGGUAGCGAACAGAUUAGGAACCAUAAUAUCAUAGGGCGAUUCAAAGUGGAUAUGAGCUUAUCGAUCCGCGGACCCCAGGGGGGGCCGGGGCGCGGGUGUGGUCCUGUUAAAGCGACAUAUAUAACAAUAUGGUGGAGGGGAAAAAAAUAGAACAGAGGGGGAUGGUAGGGGGGCGUGUUUGUUUAUUAAAA
rnacentral:rRNA from 1 species